GACGAACGCUGGCGGCGUGCCUAAUACAUGCAAGUCGAACGCAGUGGGGACGGGUGAGUAAAACGUGGGUAACCUCCCAUCAGAGGGGAUAACACUUGGAAACAGGUGCUAAACCGAUACUGAUGGAUGGAGCCGCGGUGCAUUAGCUAGUUGGUGAGGUAACGGCGCACCAAGGCCACGAUGCAUAGCUGACCUGAGAGGGGGAUCGGCCACACUGGAACUGAGACACGGUACAUACGCCUACGGGAGGUAGCAGUAGGGAAUCUUCGGCAAUGGGCGAAAGUCUGACCGAGCAACGCCGCGUGAGUGAAGAAGGUUUUCGGAUUGUAAAGCUCUGUUGGUAGGGAAGCGUUAUCUAACGAGAAAGCCACGGCUAACUACGUGCCAGCAGCCGCGGUAAUUC
rnacentral:rRNA from 1 species